rnacentral:rRNA from 1 species
AAAACUCUGUUGUUAGGGAAGAACAAGUACCGGAGUAACUGCCGGUACCUUGACGGUACCUAACCAGAAAGCCACGGCUAACUACGUGCCAGCAGCCGCGGUAAUACGUAGGUGGCAAGCGUUGUCCGGAAUUAUUGGGCGUAAAGCGCGCGCAGGCGGUCCUUUAAGUCUGAUGUGAAAGCCCACGGCUCAACCGUGGAGGGUCAUUGGAAACUGGGGGACUUGAGUGCAGAAGAGGAGAGUGGAAUUCCACGUGUAGCGGUGAAAUGCGUAGAGAUGUGGAGGAACACCAGUGGCGAAGGCGACUCUCUGGUCUGUAACUGACGCUGAGGCGCGAAAGCGUGGGGAGCGAACAGGAUUAGAUACCCUGGUAGUCCACGCCGUAAACGAUGAGUGCUAAGUGUUAGAGGGUUUCCGCCCUUUAGUGCUGCAGCUAACGCAUUAAGCACUCCGCCUGGGGAGUACGGCCGCAAGGCUGAAACUCAAAGGAAUUGACGGGGGCCCGCACAAGCGGUGGAGCAUGUGGUUUAAUUCGAAGCAACGCGAAGAACCUUACCAGGUCUUGACAUCUCCUGACAAUCCUAGAGAUAGGACGUUCCCCUUCGGGGGACAGAGUGACA